AACGAACGCUGGCGGCAUGCCUAACACAUGCAAGUCGAACGGAGCUUACUUCUGUAAUCUUAGUGGCGUACGGGAGAGUAACGCAUGGGCACCUUGCCUUCUAGAUAGGGACAACAUCCCGUACGGAUAGCUAAUACUGUCUGUGACAGCAAUAUCGCUUGCGGAUGCUUUGAAAGAUGGCCUCUUUUUUUAUGCUAUCGCUAGAGGCUGACCAUGCGUAUGAUUAGCUAGUUGUUGGGGUAACUGCCUACCAAGGCGAGGAUCAGUACCCGGUCUGAGAGGAUGAACUGCAACGCUGGGACGGAGACACGGCCCAGACUCCUACGGGAGGGACCAGGGGGGGAUCUUCAGGAAGGGGCGAAAGCGUGAAUGAUCAAUGCCGCGUGAGUGAUGAAGGAAGUCGUGCCGUGAAGGUCUUUAGUUUAUUACGAAUGUGCAGAUUGUAAAUAAGAAUCGAUAAUGACGGUAGUAAGCGAAUAAGCCACGGCUAACUACGUG
rnacentral:rRNA from 1 species